rnacentral:rRNA from 1 species
UGUGAACAAUGCAUUGCAAUGACGGUAGUAAACGAGGAAGCCACGGCUAACUACGUGCCAGCAGCCGCGGUAAUACGAAGGUGGCGAGCGUUGUCCGGAAUUAUUGGGCGUAAAGAGGGAGCAGGCGGCAGCAAGGGUCUGUGGUGAAAGCCUGAAGCUUAACUUCAGUAAGCCAUAGAAACCAGGCAGCUAGAGUGCAGGAGAGGAUCGUGGAAUUCCAUGUGUAGCGGUGAAAUGCGUAGAUAUAUGGAGGAACACCAGUGGCGAAGGCGACGAUCUGGCCUGCAACUGACGCUCAGUCCCGAAAGCGUGGGGAGCAAAUAGGAUUAGAUACCCUAGUAGUCCACGCCGUAAACGAUGAGUACUAAGUGUUGGAUGUCAAAGUUCAGUGCUGCAGUUAACGCAAUAAGUACUCCGCCUGAGUAGUACGUUCGCAAGAAUGAAACUCAAAGGAAUUGACGGGGGCCCGCACAAGCGGUGGAGCAUGUGGUUUAAUUCGAAGCAACGCGAAGAACCUUACCAAGUCUUGACAUCCUCUUGACCGGUCAGUAAUGUGACCUUUUCUUCGGAACAAGAGUGACAGGUGGUGCAUGGUUGUCGUCAGCUCGUGUCGUGAGAUGUUGGGUUAAGUCCCGCAACGAGCGCAACCCUUAUCGUUAGUUACCAUCAUUAAGUUGGGGACUCUAGCGAGACUGCCAGUGACAAGCUGGAGGAAGGCGGGGAUGACGUCAAAUCAUCAUGCCCCUUAUGACCUGGGCUACACACGUGCUACAAUGGAUGGUGCAGAGGGAAGCGAAGCCGCGAGGUGAAGCAAAACCCAUAAAACCAUUCUCAGUUCGGAUUGUAGUCUGCAACUCGACUACAUGAAGUUGGAAUCGCUAGUAAUCGCGAAUCAGCAUGUCGCGGUGAAUACGUUCUCGGGCCUUGUACACACCGCCCGUCACACCACGAGAGUUGAUAACACCCGAAGCCGGUGGCCUAACCGCAAGGAAGGAGCUGUCUAAGGUGGGAUUGAUGAUUGGGGUGAAGUCGUAACAAGGUAUCCCUACGGGAACGUGGGGAUG